rnacentral:rRNA from 1 species
AUUGAACGCUGGCGGCAUGCCUUACACAUGCAAGUCGAACGGUAGAGGGGGCAACCUCUCGAGAGUGGCGAACGGGUGAGUAAAGCAUCGGAACGUGCCCAGUAGUGGGGGAUAGCCCGGCGAAAGCCGGAUUAAUACCGAAUGAGAGCUACGGGUGAAAGGGGGGGAUCGCAAGACCUCGCGCAAUUGGAGCGGCCGAUGUCAGAUUAGGUAGUUGGGGGGGUAAAGGCCUACCAAGCCGACGAUCUGUAGCUGGUCUGAGAGGACGACCAGCCACACUGGGACUGAGACACGGCCCAGACUCCUACGGGAGGCAGCAGUGGGGAAUUUUGGACAAUGGGCGAAAGCCUGAUCCAGCCAUGCCGCGUGCGGGAAGAAGGCCUUCGGGUUGUAAACCGCUUUUGUCAGGGAAGAAAUCCUUUGAGUUAAUACCUCGGGGGGAUGACGGUACCUGAAGAAUAAGCACCGGCUAACUACGUGCCAGCCGCCGCCGUAA